UACGUAGGGCGCAAGCGUUAUCCGGAAUUAUUGGGCGUAAAGAGCUCGUAGGCGGUCUGUCACGUCGGAUGUGAAAAUCCAGGGCUUAACCCUGGACCUGCAUUCGAUACGGGCAGACUAGAGUUCGGUAGGGGAGACUGGAAUUCCUGGUGUAGCGGUGAAAUGCGCAGAUAUCAGGAGGAACACCGGUGGCGAAGGCGGGUCUCUGGGCCGAUACUGACGCUGAGGAGCGAAAGCGUGGGGAGCGAACAGG
rnacentral:rRNA from 1 species